rnacentral:lncRNA from 1 species
AGGGUCCUCCAGUGAUGCACCUCAUGCCCACCACCCCCUGCACCCUCACCUGAUGCAGGAACACAUGGGCACCAAUGUCAUUGUUGCCAACACAAUGCCUGCUCACCUCAGCAACGGACAGAUGUGUGAGUGGCCCCGGCCCAGAGGGCAGGCAGCCACCCCUGAGACUCCACAGCCCUCGCCGCCAGGUGGCUCAGGGUCUGAGCCCUACAAGCUCCUGCCAGGAGCCAUCGCCACCAUCGUCAAGCCCCCCUCUGCAAUCCCACAGCCGACCAUCACCAAGCAGGAAGUCAUCUAGCAAGUCACCAGGGGGCCGGGGGCUCUGAUGACCCCCCAGCCCCCUCAGACAGCCCCUGAGGGUCACUUGGUCACAGUGAAGAAAGCUGUGACAACAGGGCCAGUCCCAGAGUGGUAGUGGAAAGGGUGAGGCCCUAGAACUCAGGCCAUGGGCCACCCGCCAAUGCCACCCUUCACCACCUGCUUGGGAUGAUGGGGCUGUGACUUGGGGAGCCCCCUGCUGGAAAGUGCUCUGCUGCCUUGGACAACUUCUCUCCUGCCAAAGCCACUGCCUUCCCCAUUCUUCGCCCCAAUUUCUUCACCCCCAAAGGACUGCUGCCUGGAGACAACAGGGGACCUUGAUUAAACAUGGCUCCCUCCCACUCAGACUGGGACUUUGCCCCACGUUCUGCCCUUGUGUCAGACACAGAGCACGUCUAGGCUGGGUCAGACGGCAGCACCUCACCCAUCCCUAUGCUGCUGCCCCAGCCGCCAAGGCUCCUCUCCUCUUGCCACCAUCACCCUCCCCAGCCCUGUUCAUUUCUCCAAAGCCUCCUCUCCAGAGGUUGAGAAAGACUCGCAGACAACUCCCCAGCCAUCCUGGGAGCACUGUGAAAGCACUGACGGGGGCUAGGCAGAGUGCAGGAGGUUGUUGAGAAAGAAGAUGCAGUUUCUCCUCUAACCCAUCUUCGGGGACUUGGAUGGAUUCUCUGAGUCAGAGAGAUGAUCCCUACAGGCUGCCAACAGGGAGGGAACAGUCCAAGGUGGACAGUUGCCACUGGGACCCAGAGGGCUGGGGGUGGUCCAAGAAGGCAUCCAGAAAGGGGCAGGCUAGGUGCCAGGCCUUUGGGGAAGGGCUGGAUUCCUGCUGAUGCAGCAGGUGAGACAGGAUGUUCUAAGGAGGAGCAAACAGCCUGGGCCAGGCCUGGGGGGUCAGAAGGAGGGUGCGGAGGGAGGUGAUGAAAGAUGGGGCUGCCUGGAGCAGAGUGGGCAUGCUGGACUGCCUUGAAUGCCAGAUGGAGGCGUGGCGACCUGGGUUCCCAGGCUGAGUAGCUGGGGAGGGAUGUACAGUGAGCUGGGCUUUCAGAAGCUGAAGACAGCCGUCCUACGUAGGUUGGAAGUUUGGGAGGGAGUGGGGAGAUCAGAUGGGGCCUAAUGAGGUCCUCCAGGUGAGAGAGAUGAGGCUGAGGAUGGAGGAGAGAGAUGAAGCUGGGGAUGGAGGAGGCAGAUGGGGGACUCUCAGAGUGAUACCUGGGAGCACCUAUCCCACAGGGCCUGUCUCCUGCUUCCUCCUGGCACUGUCUCCGGGCCCUUGAUGUGUACCAUCUCCUCUCAUCCUCCCUACUACCCAGAGAUCAUUACCGAAGGUGGAAUUGAGAUCUUAGAGGUUAAAUCAUUUUUAUGGAACUCAGACAGCUAGUAAGUGACCAAGUCAAGAGAGGUGCCAGGUCUGCCUGGAUCAGGAGCUCUACACCUGGCUGAACAUCUCCCUUGAAAGGGCCCUUCUGCCCUCUCUGUGAUUAAGUUAAGGGACUUCCUGCCUCUUCACCAGCCUUAGAAGCCAAAGCCUCGUUCUUUCCAGGACCCCUGCCCACACUGGGAGCUAAGAUUGGCCUGAGGCUGCACUAGAAUCCAGUUAGGGUCCAGAAUCCUGUUUGCUGAUAAACAAGGAGAAUUCAUGGCUCCUGUACCCCUUUUCUCUCUUCACUCCCUACAUCUGGGGAAGGGGCAUUUAG